GACGAACGCUGGCGGCGUGCUUAACACAUGCCAGUCGAACGGAAAGGCCCUGCUUUUGUGGGGUGCUCGAGUGGCGAACGGGUGAGUAACACGUGAGUAACCUGCCCUUGACUUUGGGAUAACUUCAGGAAACUGGGGCUAAUACCGGAUAGGAGCUCCUGCUGCAUGGUGGGGGUUGGAAAGUUUCGGCGGUUGGGGAUGGACUCGCGGCUUAUCAGCUUGUUGGUGGGGUAGUGGCUUACCAAGGCUUUGACGGGUAGCCGGCCUGAGAGGGUGACCGGCCACAUGGGGACUGAGAUACGGCCCAGACUCCUACGGGAGGCAGCAGUGGGGAGUAUUGCACAGUGGGCGGAAGCCUGAUGCAGCAACGCCGCGUGCGGGAUGACGGCCUUCGGGUUGUAAACCGCUUUCGCCUGUGACGAAGCGUGAGUGACGGUAAUGGGUAAAGAAGCACCGGCUAACUACGUG
rnacentral:rRNA from 1 species